UGUUCUCCGCCAUUAAACACCGAUAAUAAAAAAAAGAGAAGGAGUCAGAAAAGGUUCAGACAUGUGGUGUCUGACAUGGCAGUUUGUUUUUCCUCUUUGCUGACAUGAGGUCAUUUUCAGCUCCAGCGUCACUGGAUUAUCUGCUGUCAUCGGGUUGAGAACAAAUAGAUUUGGAGCAGAGAUGCUCAUUCCUUCUCCUUUUCCUCUUCCUUCUUUUCCUUCACCUCCUGUAUUUUCCUGCUGCUAAUGCAAUUCCUCAUGGAAAUUGUAGCUUUUGAAUUUAACUUCCCCGGUGAUUUAAAGGUGGCAGAGCUUUUCUGCUGCAGUCAGCUAAACUCUACUGUACAAACUUACAGUUCAGGAUCUGAGUCACCAGAGACUUUAUUAGGUUGCAAAACCACAAAGGCUGAGCUAAAGAGAGACAAUUUAGCUCCAUAAAUACAGUUUACACAGGCCAAGUGAGAAAACACCACAGUUUCUCUUAAAUGUUUUGGACAUUCAGACAUCCAGAACACCAGAAACAUAUCAGGUCAGCUCCGACCUGUGGGAGAUUUACAGCAGAGUAAUGUUGAAUGCAUCAUGUUCUACAGAAAUCUUGUAAAAUCAUUUUCUCAGACCUAGACACAGCAGCUCCCUGGUGGGAUGGAGCAUGUUAUGAUAAAAACAUCAGCAGAUACCGUGUUUUUAGGAUGUUCAUGUUUUUACCAGCUCACUCAGAAGUAGUAUUAGGCUAAUUAGCUGUUGGCUAACGUUAUUUUGGCAUAUCUAGACCUUUGGCUGCAUAUUUGACGCAUUUCCUACAAAUAUUGAAAUACUUUUUGGCUAACUUUGAGCUUUUGUUUGUUGACUUUCACUUAUCCUUAAGUGUUUUUGGCUAACUCAAGCUCUUUGUGGCUGUAAGUGUGGUGUUUGUGUUUUGUUUGUUUUGCUGCUGCGUGUCUUUUCUCCACAGCUGCACUGAAGCUGGAGCUGAUGAGCCAGAGCACUGCUGGGCGUUGUCUUUGUUUGGAGGCAGUGCAGCACUUUAGCUCCAGCUCCAUGAGAAGCCUCUUACCUGGCUCAGUGAACAGAGGACCCAAACUCCAGGCCCUGGUGCCACUUCUGCCCUGUAAACCCUGCACUUUUGGACUGUCCUUAAGCAGAUCUACAGCAUCAAGCAUGUGGUUCCACUAGGGCAGUGAUUCCCAACAACUGCCCACACUAGUGUACCGUGAGAGAUCAUUAGUGUGAAAGGCAGGACAAUUAAAUACUUGUCUGCUAGGUGGCAGCAGAUGGCUAUCAAAACAAACCAAAAAAUCAGCUGUUGAAGAAGAUCUUUAACUGUGGCACCUGCUUUGAAGAGGGAAGAUGGAAAUGCGAAGGAUUAACAUAAAGAUUCUGAAAAAAAUAAAGCCCAGGCAGCUGCAGCCGCCCACGGAAAAAUGUGGAAAAAGAAAGGUAAAAGAAAAAAAGGAAGUGCAGAAAAUGUCAACAGUCUGUCAGCACAAAAACUGAAAAGGGGGAAGAAGAUGUGAGGAUCCUUUUUUGACUCAGUGGGAACAUUCAGGAUGUGGAAGGAACUAAAACAAGACUCUGCCUUAUGAUAAGCCAGUUCGAUUUUUAUACCAGGAGCCAGGACUGUAAGAGUGAUGGUUCUGCUCAAUAUUUUAAAAAAAGCUCACAGAAAAAUGGCUAAAGAUAACACAAAAAAGAAAGGAAACAUGUCAAUAAAUGUUAGAGAAUAGUCAAAAAUAGUUGAGAGUUUGUGACUGAAGCCCCCCCCAAAAAACAGUAGCCAUAGCUACAAGAAAAGAAGUGCAAAUAAUCAAUAAUUAGUGUUAUUUAGACGUGUUUUAAAAUAAAUAAAAAAUAUGAA